GGGCGCCGCACGCAUACAGGACCAGUCCUUCAUCAUGGAGUACAGUAAGAUAACCAAAAGUGUGUCUGAGAGCUGUUCUGUGGAGGAGCUGGAGGUCCCACAGGAGGUGGACAGGGCCAGGCUGAGAUGCCUACAGCAGUGGAC